ACAGCAGUGAGCAGUCCCUAGCGGGGGGUCCCCCGGGGAUAGCAGUGAGCAGUCCCUAGUGGGAGUCCUGUCCGUGGGUCCCCCGGGGAUAGCAGUGAGCAGUCCCUAGCGGGGGUCCUGUCCGUGGGUCCCCCGGGGAUAGCAGUGAGCAGUCCCUAGCGGGGGUCCUGUCCGUGGGUCCCCCAGGGAUAGCAGUGAGCAGUCCCUAGCGGGUUGCUGCCCCCCAUUCUGCAGGGAUCCCCAGGGAGCUCCUGGGGCGGGGUCCCCCCAGGCCUAGCUGGCAGGUCGCGUGGCCAGUGUGGCAGUGGUGUCCCUGGUUCAGGUGCCCAACCUGGCUGGGAGCCGUGGGGCAGGGCCUGCCAGGUGACGCUCUCCCCUCU